rnacentral:rRNA from 1 species
GGAGGGUGCAAGCGUUAAUCGGAAUUACUGGGCGUAAAGGGCGCGUAGGCGGCUGUUCAAGUUAGAUGUGAAAUCCCCGGGGGCUCAACCUGGGAAUGGCAUCUAAAACUGAACGGCUAGAGUCAAGUAGAGGUGAGUGGAAUUUCCGGUGUAGCGGUGAAAUGCGUAGAGAUCGGAAGGAACAUCAGUGGCGAAGGCGACUCACUGGACGAUGACUGACGCUGAGGCGCGAAGGCGUGGGUAGCGAACAGGAUUAGAGACCCUGGUAGUCCACGCGGUAAACGAUGAGAACUAGCUGUUAGGACUUCGGUCUUAGUGGCGCAGCUAACGCAUUAAGUUCUCCGCCUGGGGAGUACGGUCGCAAGAUUA